rnacentral:rRNA from 1 species
AUUGAACGCUGGCGGCAUGCCUUACACAUGCAAGUCGAACGGCAGCACGGGUGCUUGCACCUGGUGGCGAGUGGCGAACGGGUGAGUAAUACAUCGGAACGUACCUUAUCGUGGGGGAUAACGCAGCGAAAGCUGUGCUAAUACCGCAUACGCCCUGAGGGGGAAAGCGGGGGAUCGCAAGACCUCGCGCGAUUAGAGCGGCCGAUGCCUGAUUAGCUUGUUGGUGGGGUAGAAGCCCACCAAGGCGACGAUCAGUAGCUGGUCUGAGAGGACGAUCAGCCACACUGGGACUGAGACACGGCCCAGACUCCUACGGGAGGCAGCAGUGGGGAAUUUUGGACAAUGUGGGCAACCCUGAUCCAGCAAUGCCGCGUGAGUGAAGAAGGCCUUCGGGUUGUAAAGCUCUUUUGUCAGGGAAGAAACACCGGCUCUAACACAGUCCGGGAAUGACGGUACCUGAAGAAUAAGCACCGGCUAACUACGUGCCAGCCGCCGCGGUAA